GUUCUUAAUGUUGUAUUAGUU
rnacentral:miRNA from 1 species